rnacentral:rRNA from 1 species
UACGUAGGGUGCGAGCGUUGUCCGGAAUUAUUGGGCGUAAAGAGCUUGUAGGCGGUCUGUCGCGUCUGCUGUGAAAAUCCGGGGCUCAACCCCGGACUUGCAGUGGGUACGGGCAGACUAGAGUGUGGUAGGGGAGACUGGAAUUCCUGGUGUAGCGGUGAAAUGCGCAGAUAUCAGGAGGAACACCGAUGGCGAAGGCAGGUCUCUGGGCAUUAACUGACGCUGAGGAGCGAAAGCAUGGGGAGCAAACAGG